rnacentral:rRNA from 1 species
GAUGAACGCUGGCGGCGUGCCUAAUACAUGCAAGUCGAGCGAACAGAUAAGGAGCUUGCUCCUUUGACGUUAGCGGCGGACGGGUGAGUAACACGUGGGUAACCUACCUAUAAGACUGGAAUAACUCCGGGAAACCGGGGCUAAUGCCGGAUAACAUGUUGAACCGCAUGGUUCUACAGUGAAAGACGGUCUUGCUGUCACUUAUAGAUGGACCCGCGCCGUAUUAGCUAGUUGGUGGGGUAACGGCCUACCAAGGCGACGAUACGUAGCCGACCUGAGAGGGUGAUCGGCCACACUGGAACUGAGACACGGUCCAGACUCCUACGGGAGGCAGCAGUAGGGAAUCUUCCGCAAUGGGCGAAAGCCUGACGGAGCAACGCCGCGUGAGUGAUGAAGGUCUUCGGAUCGUAAAGCUCUGUUGUUAGGGAAGAACAAAUGUGUAAGUAACUGUGCACAUCUUGACGGUACCUAACCAGAAAGCCACGGCUAACUACGUGCCAGCAGCCGCGGUAAUACGUAGGUGGCAAGCGUUAUCCGGAAUUAUUGGGCGUAAAGCGCGCGUAGGCGGUUUUUUAAGUCUGAUGUGAAAGCCCACGGCUCAACCGUGGAGGGUCAUUGGAAACUGGAAAACUUGAGUGCAGAAGAGGAAAGUGGAAUUCCAUGUGUAGCGGUGAAAUGCGCAGAGAUAUGGAGGAACACCAGUGGCGAAGGCGGCUUUCUGGUCUGCAACUGACGCUGAUGUGCGAAAGCGUGGGGAUCAAACAGGAUUAGAUACCCUGGUAGUCCACGCCGUAAACGA